rnacentral:rRNA from 1 species
AGGGUUUGAUCCUGGCUCAGAGUGAACGCUGGCGGCGUGGAUUAGGCAUGCAAGUCGAGCGAUCCGAUUUUCGAGAUUGGACCAACCUUCGGGAAGGUCCAUGAUUGAUUCUUGGAUAGCGGCAAACCGGUGAGUAACACGUAGGUAACGUACCUUAAGGAGAGAGAUAGCCUCGUGAAAGCGGGGGUAAUACCUCAUGUGUCCCGAAGCCUGAAAUGGCUCGGGAGAAAGAUGGCCUCUACUUGUAAGCUAUCACCUUUUGAGCGACCUGCGUCCUAUCAGGUUGUUGGUAGGGUAACGGCCUACCAAGCCAUAGACGGGUAGCUGGCGUAAGAGCGUGGUCAGCCACAUCGGAACUGAGACACUGUCCGGACUCCUACGGGAGGCUGCAGUCGAGAAUCUUUCCCAAUGGACGAAAGUCUGAGGAUGCGACGCCGCGUGGGGGAUGAAGGCUCUCGGGUCGUAAACCCCUUUUAUUAGAGAGGAAAUCUAAGAUGCGAAUAGUUUCUUAGUUUGACUGUAUCUGAUGAAUAAGCCACGGCUAACUCCGUGCCAGCAGCCGCGGUAAUACGGAGGUGGCAAGCGUUACUCGGUUUGACUGGGUGUAAAGGGUCCGUAGGCGGUUUGAUAAGUGAAAGGUGAAAUCCUUCGGCUCAACCGAAGAACUGCCUUUCAAACUGUCUUACUUGAGGCUGGGAGAGGAGAGUAGAACUGCUGGUGUAAAGGUGAAAUUUGUGGAUAUCAGCAGGAAUGCCUGUGGAGAAGUCGGCUCUCUGGUCCAGACCUGACGCUGAGGGACGAAAGCUAGGGUAGCGAACAGGAUUAGAUACCCUGGUAGUCCUAGCUGUAAACGAUGGGCACUAGGUGUCUGUCCGUAAGGAUGGGUGCCGUAGGUAACCUGUUAAGUGCCCCACCUGGGGACUACGGUCGCAAGACUAAAACUCAAAGGAAUUGACGGGGGCCCGCACAAGCGGUGGAACACGUGGUUUAAUUCGAUGCUACGCGAGGAACCUUACCGGGGUUUGACAUGCUGGAAGUAGUGCUCCGAAAGGAGUUCCGACCUGUAACCAGUCAGGUACCAGCACAGGUGCUGCAUGGUUGUCGUCAGCUCGUGCCGUGAGGUGUUCCCUUAAGUGGGAGAACGAGCGCAACCCUCGCCAUUUGUUGCUACCGAUUUCGAUUUAUCGGAGUCGAGCACUCUAAUGGGACUGCCCGCGUUAAGUGGGAGGAGGGUGGGGACGACGUCAAAUCCGCAUGGCCCUUAUGUCCCGGGCUACACACGUGUUACAAUGCCUGUUACAAUGGGAGGCCAAGCCGCGAGGUGGAGCAAAUCCUAUAAAAGCAGGCCCAGUUCGGAUUGAAGGCUGCAACUCGCCUUCAUGAAGCUGGAAUCGCUAGUAAUGGCGCAUCAGCAACGGCGCCGUGAAUACGUUCCCGGGCCUUGUACACACCGCCCGUCAAGCGCUGAAAGUGGGGGGCGCCCGAAGCUCUGCUUUUGCAGAACCACGGUGAACUUCGUGAUUGGCGCUAAGUCGUAACAAGGU